rnacentral:misc_RNA from 1 species
CAAGUUUUCUCAACCACAUUGAUUAUUAUUAUUGAUGUGGCUUGGAUUGGUGGGGGUUGCAGGCUUUAUUUGAAAAAUGAAGUCGGCUCUUCUGAAAUGCAUUAGUAGUAUCUGAGCACUACUACACUGGUGUGAUAAUUUAUCUAUGCCUUGGUGUUUUGUAGCCUGCAUGAAAUCAGAUUGCACUGCUUCUAAUCUUGUUGCUUUUAAUGAA